UGAUGACUUGUAUGAAAGAUUGGAUGAAAUAUAAUCUGUCUCUUAAUUAAAUAUAAAAUUUAAUUUUUUAAUUAAAAAGUUAAAAUAAAUUAAAAAGACGAGAAGACCCUAUAGAGUUUUAUAAAUAAUUUAAUUAAGAUUAUUUAAAUAAAAAAAAAUUAAAAUUAAUUUGUUUAUUUUGUUGGGGUGACAAAAAAAUAUAUUUAACUUUUUUUUUUAAUUUUAAAACAUUUAUAAGUGAAUAAAUGAUCCAAUAUUAUUGAUUAAAAGAAAAAAUUACCUUAGGGAUAACAGCGUAAUUUUUUUUUUUAGUUCAAAUAAAAAAAAAAGUUUGCGACCUCGAUGUUGGAUUAA
rnacentral:rRNA from 1 species